UACGUAGGGUGCGAGCGUUAAUCGGAAUUACUGGGCGUAAAGCGUGCGCAGGCGGUUUUGUAAGCCCGAUGUGAAAUCCCCGGGCUUAACCUGGGAAUGGCAUUUGGGACUGCAAGGCUUGAGUGCGGCAGAGGAGACUGGAAUUCCCGGUGUAGCAGUGAAAUGCGUAGAUAUCGGGAGGAAUACCGAUGGCGAAGGCAGGUCUCUGGGCUGACACUGACGCUCAUGCACGAAAGCGUGGGGAGCAAACAGG
rnacentral:rRNA from 1 species